rnacentral:rRNA from 1 species
GAUGAACGCUGGCGGCGUGCCUAAUACAUGCAAGUCGAGCGAACAGACGAGGAGCUUGCUCCUCUGACGUUAGCGGCGGACGGGUGAGUAACACGUGGAUAACCUACCUAUAAGACUGGGAUAACUUCGGGAAACCGGAGCUAAUACCGGAUAAUAUAUUGAACCGCAUGGUUCAAUAGUGAAAGACGGUUUUGCUGUCACUUAUAGAUGGAUCCGCGCCGCAUUAGCUAGUUGGUAAGGUAACGGCUUACCAAGGCAACGAUGCGUAGCCGACCUGAGAGGGUGAUCGGCCACACUGGAACUGAGACACGGUCCAGACUCCGACGGGAGGCAGCAGUAGGGAAUCUUCCGCGAUGGGCGAAAGCCUGACGGAGCAACGCCGCGUGAGUGAUGAAGGUCUUCGGAUCGUAAAACUCUGUUAUUAGGGAAGAACAAAUGUGUAAGUAACUAUGCACGUCUUGACGGUACCUAAUCAGAAAGCCACGGCUAACUACGUG